UUAGGUUGAAGGUCGCCGCACGGCGGGGUUAGCGGUGGCCUGGACAGCCGCAGGCAAGGGCCAGUGUCCUGCUGCACCAGCUCAGCGUGGCCGCGGUUCUCCCAAGGAGACCGUCAGACCACGCCUUCGUGCUCUCCCACUGCACUUGGACCUGGUCUGCGUGCGCGGUGGGCGGGAGGGUCCUUGGGCCGUUUGAAUUGAUUGAGCUGUCAAUCAGGGUGGAGUCAGGACGGCGCAGUCUGUGGGCUCUGAUAAGGCUUCCCUGACUGACAGGAAAGGCCCGCUGGGGGAGAGUGGAUUAACAAACACCAAAGUCUCUUCGGAGGCGGGAAAGGAGGCUAGGCGAGGCCUUGGCAGAACCAGCCCACCGACAGUGGCCUGGAAACCAGCCUAGGGGAUCAGACCAGCAGUCUCUCCUGUUGUCUCGUCAGAAUCCUAAAGAUUCGAAGGAAACAAGGGCACAGCCUCUUGUUCCCUCACACCACAGAAGGUUGAAGCCUUGAGCGAGUGACUAAAUUGUGUGGUACCCAGGACUCUCCUCACAGAAGGAGCUCUGGUUUCGACGCCAGAAGGGCCCGGGAGGUUAUCGGUGGAUUCCAUGCCCUCAGCACCCAGAAAAAAAGUCUGACCCAUAAGUGAUGUCAGUGAAGCUGGACGGUGGCGGUGCACGCCUUUAAUCCCAGCACUUAGGAGGCAGAAGCAGACUGAUCUCUGUGAGUUCGAAGCCAACCUGGUCUACAGAACGAGUUCCAGGACAGGCUCCAAAGGUACACAGAGAAAUCCUGUCUAGAGAAACAAAACAACAACAACAAAGAUGUCAGUGAAGGUUUGCUGAAGGAGAGGGGGUGGAUGGUUGAAACAUGCUGUGCUGAUACGUGUAGAUUUAAAAAUAAAACAUUCAUCAAACUUG